UGGCUCAGAACGAACGCUGGCGGCGCGCCUAACACAUGCAAGUCGAACGAGAAAGCCGCAAGGCGAGUACAGUGGCGCACGGGUGAGUAACACGUGGAUUAUCUGCCCUCUAGUGGGGAAUACCGUUGGGAAACCGACGACAAUACCGCAUAAGCUCGAGAGAGGAAAGCAGCAAUGCGCUGGAGGAGGAGUCCGCGGUCGAUUAGUUAGUUGGUAGGGUAAGAGCCUACCAAGACUGUGAUCGAUAGCCGGCCUGAGAGGGCACACGGCCACACUGGCACUGAAACACGGACCAGACUCCUACG
rnacentral:rRNA from 1 species